UCCUGAGCUGAGGUUUUCCUGAAUGUAAAACUUCAAGUAGAGAAAAUAUGAAUAGAGGUUAAAGAAAGAAUAGUUCUGAUACUAAAAACCUGGAACACAGCUACGAAAACCCAAUCAGCGUUUCUCGUAGUAAAGUGACCACGAGAAACGGAACUAAGAGGAGCAGCAAUGCUGGCAUCCAGGCUGAGCUCACACAUGACAUGGGGCCUUCUGCAGUCCAGGUUCAAUGGGCUGGAAGACAUAUCAAUAUUGUGAAGAAGCUCACGAGGCCACUGAUACCUAUUGCAUUGAGAGAUGGACUGUUACAUCAUACUGUGCAACAGAAAAACUGUUUCGAAGUUCAGCCUGGCAAGUCUUUAACCUCACAGCAAAAACCUACUGAGUACCAGGCCAGCACAAAACCAGGAUCAGGAUGUCUCCUUUGGAAGUUUAACCCUGAAUGUGAUCUUUAAUUGGGAACCCUUCUUUGUUCUUGGUUAGUUCCUUUGUAGAAGCUUUUGUUGCUCUAGGCUUUGCUGGCUACCACUCAUCAACGAGCUUUAAAGCUCACACUCAUAGUUAAGACAGAGCAGCACGGGCUCC
rnacentral:antisense_RNA from 1 species